GAUGAACGCUGGCGGCGUGCCUAAUACAUGCAAGUCGAGCGAACGGACGAGAAGCUUGCUUCUCUGAUGUUAGCGGCGGACGGGUGAGUAACACGUGGAUAACCUACCUAUAAGACUGGGAUAACUUCGGGAAACCGGAGCUAAUACCGGAUAAUAUUUUGAACCGCAUGGUUCAAAAGUGAAAGACGGUCUUGCUGUCACUUAUAGAUGGAUCCGCGCUGCAUUAGCUAGUUGGUAAGGUAACGGCUUACCAAGGCAACGAUGCAUAGCCGACCUGAGAGGGUGAUCGGCCACACUGGAACUGAGACACGGUCCAGACUCCUACGGGAGGCAGCAGUAGGGAAUCUUCCGCAAUGGGCGAAAGCCUGACGGAGCAACGCCGCGUGAGUGAUGAAGGUCUUCGGAUCGUAAAACUCUGUUAUUAGGGAAGAACAUAUGUGUAAGUAACUGUGCACAUCUUGACGGUACCUAAUCAGAAACCCACGGCUAACUACGUG
rnacentral:rRNA from 1 species